UACGUAGGGGGCAAGCGUUGUCCGGAUUUAUUGGGCGUAAAGAGCGUGUAGGCGGUUGGGUAGGUCCGUUGUGAAAACUCGAGGCUCAACCUCGAGACGCCGAUGGAAACCCCCCAGCUAGAGUCCGGAAGAGGAGAGUGGAAUUCCUGGUGUAGCGGUGAAAUGCGCAGAUAUCAGGAGGAACACCAGUAGCGAAGGCGGCACUCUGGGCCGGUACUGACGCUGAGGAGCGAAAGCGUGGGGAGCGAACAGG
rnacentral:rRNA from 1 species